UCCCGGACAGUUUACUAAACUGUCCCGGACAGUUUCUUACUUUUGAACUAUGGUGUACGAACUGGUCCAAAACUAUUAUAAACUGUCCGGGACGGUUUAUAAACCGUCCGGGACGGUUUGUAAACUGUCCCGGACAGUUUACAAAACUGUCCCGGACAGUUUCUUACUUUUGAACCGCU